rnacentral:rRNA from 1 species
AUACGGAGGGUGCGAGCGUUGUUCGGAAUUACUGGGCGUAAAGCGGGUGUAGGCGGUGGACCAAGUCAGGUGUGAAAGCCCUCGGCUCAACCGAGGAAGUGCAUCUGAAACUGGUUCACUGGAGUACGGGAGAGGAGAGUGGAAUUCCCAGUGUAGAGGUGAAAUUCGUAGAUAUUGGGAGGAACACCGGUGGCGAAGGCGGCUCUCUGGAACGAUACUGACGCUGAGACCCGAAAGCGUGGGGAGCAAACAGGAUUAGAAACCCUAGUAGUCC